AUUGAACGCUGGCGGCAGGCCUAACACAUGCAAGUCGAGCGGAUGACGGGAGCUUGCUCCUUGAUUCAGCGGCGGACGGGUGAGUAAUGCCUAGGAAUCUGCCUGGUAGUGGGGGACAACGUUUCGAAAGGAACGCUAAUACCGCAUACGUCCUACGGGAGAAAGCAGGGGACCUUCGGGCCUUGCGCUAUCAGAUGAGCCUAGGUCGGAUUAGCUAGUCGGUGGGGUAAUGGCUCACCAAGGCGACGAUCCGUAACUGGUCUGAGAGGAUGAGCCGUAACACUGGAACGGAGACACGGUCCAGACUCCUACGGGAGGCAGCAGUGGGGAAUAUUGGACAAUGGGCGAAAGCCUGAUCCAGCCAUGCCGCGUGUGUGAAGAAGGUCUUCGGAUUGUAAAGAACUUUAAGUUGGGAGGAAGGGCAGUAAGUUAAUACCUUGCUGUUUUGACGUUACCGACAGAAUAAGCACCGGCUAACUCUGUGCCAGCAGCCGCCGUAAUAC
rnacentral:rRNA from 1 species